rnacentral:rRNA from 1 species
GACGAACGCUGGCGGCGUGCUUAACACAUGCAAGUCGAACGGAAAGGCCCCUUUGGGGGUACUCGAGUGGCGAACGGGUGAGUAACACGUGAGUAACCUGCCCUUGACUUCGGGAUAACUUCAGGAAACUGGGGCUAAUACCGGAUAGGAAUCCUUGCUGCAUGGUGGGGGUUGGAAAGCUUCGGCGGUUUUGGAUGGACUCGCGGCUUAUCAGCUUGUUGGUGGGGUAGUGGCUUACCAAGGCUUUGACGGGUAGCCGGCCUGGGAGGGCGACCGGCCACAUUGGGACUGAGAUACGGCCCAGACUCCUUCGGGAGGCAGCAGUGGGGAAUAUUGCACAAUGGGCGGAAGCCUGAUGCAGCAACGCCGCGUGCGGGAUGACGGCCUUCGGGUUGUAAACCGCUUUCAGCAGGGGCGAAGCUUGUGGUGACGGUACCUGCAGAAGAAGCACCGGCUAACUACGUG